rnacentral:misc_RNA from 1 species
GUGAAUCAUCGAAUUUUUGAACGCAAAUUGCACUCUCUGGUAUUCCGGAGAGUAUGCCUGUUUGAGGGUCAGUUUAAAUAAAAAUCGGUGUGGUUGCUGCCUUUCGUGGUGACGCACCGGAUUUGGGUCGUCUUGCCUUCGGUUAAGUGACCUAAAUUUUGGAUGAUUUUUUUUCAAACUAUUUUAAUUGAUUUUACGUCCUUUUCC